CUCACCGUGUUCUUUUUUCCUUCUAGUAGGUUGUAUCAGCUUGUAUGGCACCAUCCCAAGGAUGCAAGAGUGGAAACUGCAAUACUUCUUCAGAUCUAAGUUGCAAAACUUGCACAUCAUUGCUGAUACAGUUUAUUAUUCAAAGCAAAUUACAAGGUCAUCCCAGACUAAAGGAGUGGAGAAAAAGACUCUACCAUCUGACGAGAGAAAUUACACAAUCAUGUGGCAGUACUUUCUAGUUGCUAUAGCCUACCCUGUGGCCACAGUUAUUUACAUUCUUUCUGUAUGUAAAAUAUGCUCACUCUUCCCUAAAAGGCCUCAUCCCAUUCUGACUCAGGCUCAAAAUUUUAAAAUAUUAUCAUCUAAAUGUAGAUUACAUGUAGAUGAGGAUCCCUGGUCGAACUCUUGGGUAUGAAUCCUGUUCCAGAGAUUUGUGAAUUAAAAAAACAAGCUAUCUACACUUCACAACCCAAAUAGAAAAUUGCAGUGAUGCUCCGAUUCACAAGGCAGAGAAACAGGAAACACAGAGCAAUAACUAGAAUAUAGGAAUUCUGAAGUCUAGCCAGGUACACUGACAGUUCCCUGUGUUUCAGGACAGAUACAUCCCUUGAUUAGAGCACACUCUGCUUUCUGAAUGGUCCCCUAGCCCAGUAUUCUUCAUCAUUUCAUGCAUUGAUCCAUUGAGAAGUCUGUGAAUUCCACCUCCUUAAUAUUUCUUAAAAGAAUGAAAUUAUGUCAUUUGCUGGUAAAUGGAUGGAAAUGGAGAAUAUCUUGCUAAGUGAAAUAAGCCACACUUAGAAAGACAAGAGUCAAAUAUUUUCUUUCUCUCUCUCUCUCUCUCUCUCUCUCUCUUUCUCUUCAGAAAAAAUAAAGGUUGUGGGGGGAAUCUCACAAUAAUAGAAAAUAAUAGAAGGGAAAACAAUAGCAUAGAGGAAGGGGAUGCGGGGAAGAGUGAGAGUGAGCAAGACAGGAAGGAGGGGAGGGCAUAGGGAGUACUUGUGUUAGAAAUCUACCAAAUUAUGCUAUGACCAUGUAUGAAUAUACCACAAUGUACAUAUAUAUAAUUAUAAUGCACUAAUAAAAAUAAUAAUAAUAAUAGGAGAGAGAGCAGUAGAGUAGAAAAGGUGGAUCAGAGGAAGGGAGGAAGGGGGAAAAGGAAGGUACUGGGGAAUGAGAUUGAUCAAAUUAUGUUAAGUGCAUGUGUGAAUAUGGCAUAAUGGAUUCUGCUAUUAUUUGUUAUUACAAUGUACCAAUAAAAACCCUUCCAAUCUAUUAAUAAUGCCACUACUUUGAGGCCUUUAUGAUUUAUUUUGCCUUUACAAUUGAAAUGAUUUCCCUGCCAACUGUUUCUUUCUUUAGUGCACCAGAAAGUUCUUUGGAAACACAAAUCUGAUAAUGUAUUUUCAUUGCUUAAGAUUUUUCCAGUGGUUCUGGUAGCGUUCUUUUUCUUAAUGUAGGUGUUGAUUACACAGCUGUGUUUGCUUUGUGAAAAUUUAUUGAGCUGUAAACAUAUGAAUUAUGUACUUUCUGCAUAUAUGACUUAAAUGAAAAGGUUAUAUUUAAUAAUCCUCCCAUAGUUUCCCAUUGUAUCCAGGAUAGAGUCAAAACUCUUAGCACAAUACAUAAAGCCUGUCAGGACUCCUAUGUUUCCAAAUUCCUGUUAUUGCCCCUAACUUCCCAUGGAUAAUACCUUGUCUUCUGCAAAUAAACUAU
rnacentral:lncRNA from 1 species